UACGUAGGGUGCGAGCGUUGUCCGGAAUUAUUGGGCGUAAAGAGCUUGUAGGCGGUUUGUCGCGUCUGCUGUGAAAAUCCGGGGCUCAACCCCGGACUUGCAGUGGGUACGGGCAGACUGGAGUGUGGUAGGGGAGACUGGAAUUCCUGGUGUAGCGGUGGAAUGCGCAGAUAUCAGGAGGAACACCGGUGGCGAAGGCGGGUCUCUGGGCAGUAACUGACGCUGAGGAGCGAAAGCCAGGGGAGCGAACGGG
rnacentral:rRNA from 1 species